rnacentral:rRNA from 1 species
GGCUGGCGGCGUGCCUAAUACAUGCAAGUCGAGCGGACAGAUGGGAGCUUGCUCCCUGAUGUUAGCGGCGGACGGGUGAGUAACACGUGGGUAACCUGCCUGUAAGACUGGGAUAACUCCGGGAAACCGGGGCUAAUACCGGAUGGUUGUUUGAACCGCAUGGUUCAAACAUAAAAGGUGGCUUCGGCUACCACUUACAGAUGGACCCGCGGCGCAUUAGCUAGUUGGUGAGGUAACGGCUCACCAAGGCAACGAUGCGUAGCCGACCUGAGAGGGUGAUCGGCCACACUGGGACUGAGACACGGCCCAGACUCCUACGGGAGGCAGCAGUAGGGAAUCUUCCGCAAUGGACGAAAGUCUGACGGAGCAACGCCGCGUGAGUGAUGAAGGUUUUCGGAUCGUAAAGCUCUGUUGUUAGGGAAGAACAAGUACCGUUCGAAUAGGGCGGUACCUUGACGGUACCUAACCAGAAAGCCACGGCUAACUACGUGCCAGCAGCCGCGGUAAUACGUAGGUGGCAAGCGUUGUCCGGAAUUAUUGGGCGUAAAGGGCUCGCAGGCGGUUUCUUAAGUCUGAUGUGAAAGCCCCCGGCUCAACCGGGGAGGGUCAUUGGAAACUGGGGGAACUUGAGUGCAGAAGAGGAGAGUGGAAUUCCACGUGUAGCGGUGAAA